GACGAACGCUGGCGGCGUGCUUAACACAUGCAAGUCGAACGGAAAGGCCCUGCUUUUGUGGGGUGCUCGACUGGCGAACGGGUGAGUAACACGUGAGUAACCUGCCCUUGACUUUGGGAUAACUUCAGGAAACUUGGGCUAAUACCGGAUAGGAGCUCCUGCUGCAUGGUGGGGGUUGGAAAGUUUCGGCGGUUGGGGAUGGACUCGCGGCUUAUCAGCUUGUUGGUGGGGUAGUGGCUUACCAAGGCUUUGACGGGUAGCCGGCCUGGGAGGGUGACCGGCCACAUUGGGACGGAGAUACGGCCCAGACUCCUACGGUAGGCAGCAGUGGGGAAUAUUGCACAAUGGGCGGAAGCCUGAUGCAGCAACGCCGCGUGCGGGAUGACGGCCUUCGGGUUGUAAACCGAUUUCGCCUGUGACGAAGCGUGAGUGACGGUAAUGGGUAAAGAAGCACCGGCUAACUACGUG
rnacentral:rRNA from 1 species